GGCGAGGUAGCUCAGCUGGUUAGAGCAACGGAAUCAUAAUCCGUAGGUCGGCGGUUCAAGUCCGCCUCUCGCUACCA
rnacentral:tRNA from 1 species